UACGUUCCCGGGCCUUGUACACACCGCCCGUCACACCACGAAAGUCGGCAAUACCCGAAGCCGGUGGCCUAACCCGUAAGGGAGGGAGCCGUCGAAGGUAGGGUCGAUGAUUGGGGUG
rnacentral:rRNA from 1 species